CCUACGGGUGGCAGCAGUGAGGAAUAUUGGUCAAUGGCCGCAAGGCUGAACCAGCCAAGUAGCGUGAAGGAUGACGGUCCUAUGGAUUGUAAACCUCUUUUGUCAGGGAGCAAAGGGCGCCACGUGUGGCGCUUUGCGAGUACCUGAAGAAAAAGCAUCGGCUAACUCCGUGCCAGCAGCCGCGGUAAUACGGAGGAUGGGAGCGUUAUCCGGAUUUAUUGGGUUUAAAGGGUGCGCAGGUGGAAUGUCAAGUCAGCGGUAAAAUUUCGGGGCUCAACCCCGUCGUGCAGUUGAUACUGGCGUUCUUGAGUGAGCGAGAAGUAUGCGGAAUGCGUGGUGUAGCGGUGAAAUGCAUAGAUAUCACGAAGAACUCCGAUUGCGAAGGCAGCAUACCGGCGCUCAACUGACGCUCAUGCACGAAAGCGUGGGUAUCGAACAGGAUUAGAUACCCGGGUAGUC
rnacentral:rRNA from 1 species